rnacentral:rRNA from 1 species
UGGGGAAUUUUGGACAAUGGGGGAAACCCUGAUCCAGCCAUGCCGCGUGCAGGAUGAAGGCCUUCGGGUUGUAAACUGCUUUUGUACGGAACGAAAAGGUCCUUUCUAAUAAAGAGGGCUCAUGACGGUACCGUAAGAAUAAGCACCGGCUAACUACGUGCCAGCAGCCGCGGUAAUACGUAGGGUGCGAGCGUUAAUCGGAAUUACUGGGCGUAAAGCGUGCGCAGGCGGUUAUAUAAGACAGAUGUGAAAUCCCCGGGCUCAACCUGGGAACUGCAUUAGUGACUGUAUAGCUGGAGUGCGGCAGAGGGGGAUGGAAUUCCGCGUGUAGCAGUGAAAUGCGUAGAUAUGCGGAGGAACACCGAUGGCGAAGGCAAUCCCCUGGGCCUGCACUGACGCUCAUGCACGAAAGCGUGGGGAGCAAACA